AUUAGGGCAGCUGAAGGUGUUUGCUGGAGGUGAAGGUGUUUGCCGUGAGUGACGCACAAUAGCCCAAGGGAGCUCAACAAGACGGAAAGAGAUGAGCAAAGUGAUGGAGGACAAUGAAAACGUGCCAGGAACAGUGCUUGAGUAGUGCUCCAUUGUGUAUUUAAAGAGCAUAUUUUCUUCAACAUUCAUCUGCUGAUGGACAGAUGGGCUAUUUCUAAGAAUUAGCUAUCUUAAAUCAACUUCCAUAAACAGAGGCUUUCCUUGCCUAAAACAUGGCCAAAAGACCACUGCUCCAGGUCCUGUUCACUGUCUAUCUGCCCAGACAUUUGUUGUCUCUGCCCCACCUGCAGAAUCUAGGCUCAGCAGAAGGCUUCUUUGGCUAGUGUAGGGUGGUGGACAGGACUUCACUGUCUCAGAUCUUUCUGUUUUUUUUGAAAAUGAUAAGAAAGUGUUCUGUCUCCACUGUUUUCUCUGCCUUAUGUAGUACACUUCUAGAAGGUGCUGGCGUCCCUUUGUGGGAGCCAACUGGCAAUCACUGCAUGUCUCACAAACAGCACACUUGUAUGGAAUGGGCCAUGGGAAACGUUUUGUUCUGUGUCCAAUGAGCCUUUUAUCUGUUCACAGGCCUGUUACUCACAAGCACUGAAACACUAGUCCUGUCCUCCCAUAUUUCCUUUAAAAGAAAGAGCUUAGAUCCUUAAUUCACAUUAUAUACAAAAACUAUCUGGAAAUAGAGCCAAAUGUUAGACUUUAAGUUUUCUAAAUGAAAAAAGUUAGGAUCUGUAAUCUUAGCUUAGGCAGUAGUUUCUGAGAUAUGACACCAAAAAACGCGAGUGGCUGACGAAAAAGACAGUGAAACCCAAGGAUGGUAAUCCCAGCACUCUGAGAGGCUGAGGCAGGUGGAUCUCAAGUUUGAGUCCAGCCUGGGCAACUUAGCAAAACCCUAUUUUACAAUUUAAAAGUGACUGGGGAUAUAGCUCAGUGUGAAGUCUCUGGAUUUAACUCCUGUACCAAGGGAAUAAAAGUUGGAAACGCUAGUGAGUGUUGGAGAAAUUCUACACCUCAGACAUCAUUGGUGAGAAUGUGAAGUGGUGCAAACCACUCUGGAAAAACAUCUGGCAGUUUCUUAAAAUUUUAGAAGUGGAGUUACCAUAGGACCCAGCAGUUUUAUCUACAGAUAAAUAUACUAGAGAAGUAAAAUAUAUGUCCAUGCACAAACCUGUACAUGAAUGUUCAUAGCAGCAGAAUUCAUAAUAGUAAAAAUGUGGAAAGAAUCUGAAUGUCCAUCACCUGACAGAUGGACAAACAAAUGUAGUUUAUUAUGUAAAUAAAAAAUUAUUCAACCAUGAAGAAUUAAGCAGCGAUGCUGCAACAUGGAUAAACUUUGAAAAUAUACUGUGUGAAAGGAGUCAGCCACAAAAAAUCACAUACUAUAUGAUUCUGCUUGUGUGAAUUGUCCAGAACAGACAUAUCUGCAGAGACGGACAGUGGGUUAGUGCUGAAGGGGAGGCACAGAGAUUGACUGGUUAUGGCUUUGGAGCUUCUUUGUAGCUGAAGAAAAUGUUCUGAAAUUGGAUUGUGGUUAUGGUUGGACAACUCUGAAUAUGUUUUAAAAUCAUUGAAUUGUAAAUGGGUGAAUUUUGUGUAUGUGAAUUCUAUCAAUAAAGCCAUUUAAUUGA